AAACACAGAAAAUGUAACUGUAGCAUGGAUCGACAAUCGAGCUGCAGGGAUUCCGAAAAAAGGACGCUUUCUUUGUUGAAAGAGAUUGCCACGAAGACAUGUAUCGCCAAUCCUCAAAGGAGACCUUCGGCUUCGGACAUCAUUUGUAUGUUGCAGAAAGACAGCGAGAAGGAGGAAAUAAAAACGAAGCAGAAUUUCGUGAUUGAGCAAAAGAAAUAAAUUUGACAUUUUAGACACAAUAUUCACUUUAAAAUACCUUGUGACGACAAUGAUUAUUUCAUGUUUUUUUUUUUAUUUAUUCAUCAAAUUGAUUUGUGAAAAUACAUUGAAACAUUA